ACUUACAAUGUUGCUGGAACCACUCUCACUACUGCCAUCAAGGCUGGGUAUAGGCACAUUGAUUGCGCUUCUCUCUAUGCUAACGAGAAGGAGCUUGGUUUUGUUUUCAAGGAGUUAUUUGAUGAUGGUUUUGUGAAGCGUGAAGACCUAUUUAUCACCUCCAAGUUCUG